UCCAUCAGGACUCUCAAAUAGGGAAUCUGAACCUCAACAGGUAAUACAGCCUCCAUUCCAUAUACCAAUGAGAAAGGAGUUGCCCCAGUAGAUGUACGCACCGGCGUCCGAUACCCAGGAUACGGUUUCAUACUCAAUCACACCGUCGGUGCCUUCAAGCGUUAUCCAGGCAACAAAAGCUCAUUCACCUUAACCUCCC
rnacentral:lncRNA from 1 species